GACGAACGCUGGCGGCGUGCUUAACACAUGCAAGUCGAACGGAGAGGCCCUGCUUUUGUGGGGUGCUCGAGUGGCGAACGGGCGAGUAACACGUGAGUAACCUGCCCUUGACUUUGGGAUAACUUCAGGAAACUGGGGCUAAUACCGGAUAGGAGCUCCUGCUGCAUGGUGGGGGUUGGAAAGUUUCGGCGGUUGGGGAUGGACUCGCGGCUUAUCAGCUUGUUGGUGGGGUAGUGGCUUACCAAGGCUUUGACGGGUAGCCGGCCUGAGAGGGUGACCGACCACAUUGGGACUGAGAUACGGCCCAGACGCCUACGGGAGGCAGCAGGGGGGAAUAUGGCACAAUGGGCGGAAGCCUGAUGCAGCAACGCCGCGUGCGGGAUGACGGCCUUCGGGUUGUAAACCGCUUUCGCCUGUGACGAAGCGUGAGUGACGGUAAUGGGUAAAGAAGCACCGGCUAACUACGUG
rnacentral:rRNA from 1 species